UAAGGGGACUGAGCUGGCCUGGGGUUGGUUGCACAUUCGCUACGGCUGCACAUUCCCAUUCUCUGCUUCCAGGGCAAGGAGAGGACUGUGCAUCCUCAGUGACCGUGGUGCCUAACCCUGCUUUAGAGAAGUCUGUCCUUGCCCCCAAGCUGCUUUCCACGGAGUUCUGUUUGCACACGAGGUCGCUGUGAAGGAGUGUCCAUCAGGUCUGGACGUGCACCUGACCUCGCUGACUGAGAACGUGGUAACUAAGGCCCUGACUGCCUGGCCCUGCCUACCUCUCCUGCCUCACCAGGAGCUGCCCACACCUGUCUUUAGCCAACCAAGCUCCUAACCAUCGGGGAUCCUGGGACUCAGGCCUGCCUUUGCUGGACACUUCCCUUCGGCCCACCUGGCCACAUUCCACUCUUUCUUAAGGAUUCUGCUUAAAAGUCGUGUCCUCUAAGGCUCCCCGCUAGCCUUCCCCACCACGAUGACAUCCAGGUAAGGCGCU
rnacentral:lncRNA from 1 species